GUGGGGAAUCUUAGACAAUGGGCGCAAGCCUGAUCUAGCCAUGCCGCGUGAUCGAUGAAGGCCUUAGGGUUGUAAAGAUCUUUCAGAUGGGAAGAUAAUGACGGUACCAUCAGAAGAAGCCCCGGCUAACUCCGUGCCAGCAGCCGCGGUAAUACGGAGGGGGCUAGCGUUAUUCGGAAUUACUGGGCGUAAAGCGCACGUAGGCGGAUUGACAAGUCAGAGGUGAAAUCCCAGGGCUCAACCUUGGAACGGCCUUUGAAACUGUCAGUCUUGAGUUCGAGAGAGGUGAGUGGAAUUCCGAGUGUAGAGGUGAAAUUCGUAGAUAUUCGGAGGAACACCAGUGGCGAAGGCGGCUCACUGGCUCGAUACUGACGCUGAGGUGCGAAAGCGUGGGGAGCAAACAGGAUUAGAAACCCUAGUAGUCC
rnacentral:rRNA from 1 species